rnacentral:rRNA from 1 species
AUGAACGCUGGCGGCGUGCUUAACACAUGCAAGUCGAACGAUGAACCAGGUGCUUGCACUUGGGGAUUAGUGGCGAACGGGUGAGUGACACGUGAGUAACCUGCCCCUGACUUCAGGAUAAGCCCGGGAAACUGGGUCUAAUACUGGAUAUGACUAUUGACCGCAUGGUUGGUGGUGGAAAGAUUUAUUGGUUGGGGAUGGACUCGCGGCCUAUCAGCUUGUUGGUGAGGUAAUGGCUCACCAAGGCGACGACGGGUAGCCGGCCUGAGAGGGUGACCGGCCACACUGGGACUGAGACGCGGCCCAGACUCCUACGGGAGGCAGCAGUGGGGAAUAUUGCACAAUGGGCGAAAGCCUGAUGCAGCGACGCCGCGUGAGGGAUGACGGCCUUCGGGUUGUAAACCUCUUUCAGUAGGGAAGAAGCCGAAAGGUGACGGUACUUGCAGAAGAAGCGCCGGCUAACUACGUGCCAGCAGCCGCGGUAAUACGUAGGGCGCGAGCGUUAUCCGGAUUCAUUGGGCGUAAAGAGCUCGUAGGCGGUUUGUCGCGUCUGCCGUGAAAGACCAGGGCUCAACCCUGGUUCUGCGGUGGGUACGGGCAGACUAGAGUGAUGUAGGGGAGACUGGGAAUUCCUGGUGUAGCGGUGAAAUGCGCAGAUAUCAGGAGGAACACCGAUGGCGAAGGCAGGUCUCUGGGCAUUUACUGACGCUGAGGAGCGAAAGCAUGGGGAGCGAACAGGAUUAGAUACCCUGGUAGUCCAUGCCGUAAACGUUGGGCACUAGGUGUGGGGGACAUUCCACGUUUUCCGCGCCGUAGCUAACGCAUUAAGUGCCCCGCCUGGGGAGUACGGCCGCAAGGCUAAAACUCAAAGGAAUUGACGGGGGCCCGCACAAGCGGCGGAGCAUGCGGAUUAAUUCGAUGCAACGCGAAGAACCUUACCAAGGCUUGACAUGUUCCAGACCGCUCCAGAGAUGGGGUUUCCCUUCGGGGCUGGUUCACAGGUGGUGCAUGGUUGUCGUCAGCUCGUGUCGUGAGAUGUUGGGUUAAGUCCCGCAACGAGCGCAACCCUCGUUCCAUGUUGCCAGCACGUAGUGGUGGGGACUCAUGGGAGACUGCCGGGGUCAACUCGGAGGAAGGUGGGGAUGACGUCAAAUCAUCAUGCCCCUUAUGUCUUGGGCUUCACGCAUGCUACAAUGGCCGGUACAAUGGGUUGCGAUACUGUGAGGUGGAGCUAAUCCCUAAAAGCCGGUCUCAGUUCGGAUUGGGGUCUGCAACUCGACCCCAUGAAGUCGGAGUCGCUAGUAAUCGCAGUUCAGCAACGCUGCGGUGAAUACGUUCCCGGGCCUUGCACACACCGC